GCGUGGCUCUGAGGUAGAGCAUCUGCUUAGGUUGCACAAGGACCCAGGUUCGGAUCCCUAGCAUCUCCA
rnacentral:tRNA from 1 species